rnacentral:rRNA from 1 species
UACGUAGGGUGCAGGCGUUAAUCGGAAUUACUGGGCGUAAAGCGUGCGUAGGCGGUUUCUUAAGUCAGAUGUGAAAGCCCCGGGCUUAACCUGGGAACUGCGUUUGAAACUGGGAGACUUGAGUGUGGCAGAGGGGGGUGGAAUUCCACGUGUAGCAGUGAAAUGCGUAGAGAUCGGGAGGAACACCGGUGGCGAAGGCGGGUCUCUGGGCAUCUCCUGACGCUGAGGCGCGAAAGCGUGGGGAGCAAACGGG